CACAUUGGAAUUUCGCUAACUCCUCCGAAGGCUUUCGUUCCACCGGCACCACAUUUGCUCAGGCCAAUCUACACCCCAUGGCCAUUAAAAGUUAUUCAAAUCAUGAUGCUGCACCCCAUGGUUUAGGUUCUAGGGGGCGCCAAAAAUAACCCAAAAAUCCACAUUCUUAAAUGUUUUAUAACUUUUUAUUUUUGUCCUCACUGGCCUCCAAGUUUUCUAGGAUGAUGCAAUGUCCAGCCAUCAACACAUUUGUGAAGGAAUUUUUACUCCCCAAAAGAGCGCCCCCCCAUGGUAGGAGAAAAAAGUCAAUUUUUUCUUGUCCCCUUACAUAAAAAUACACAUUGUUGAGUGUCACGCCUGAACGCUUUGUCAUAUUGACACAAAAAUUGACAAUCAUGUGUAUCUCAAUUAGAUCUACGAAAAAGUCAAAGAGCGCGUAUCUGUAUAAUGUACGGUUAAAGGGCUAUUUUGCAUUUUUGCCGAUUCGCACACAUUGGAAUGUGGCUAUCUCCUCCUAAUGCUUUCGUCCCACCGAUACCAAAUUUGCUCAGGGCAAUCUACACCCCAUGCCCAUUCAAAGUUGUAAAAAUCAUGACGCUGCACCCCACGGUUUACGUUCUAGGGGGCGCCAAAGAUGACCCAAAAAUCCACAUUCUUAAAAGUCAUUUUGGCCACUGCAGGAGUACAGAGUACUGCAGUUCUAGGGGGCGCCAAAGAUGACCCAAAAAUCCACAUUCUUAAAAGUCUUUUUGGCCACUGCAGGAGUACAGAGUACUGCAGGAUACACACACAUAUACACACACGCCAACAUACACAUACACACACACACACACACACACACACACACACACAGACAGACACACACACACACACUCAGAGUCUGUUUUUUAGCACCUGCAAAAACAUGCUGUUUACAUAUUUGACAAGAAUGCAGAGGCUUCCUUUUGCCCCUGAAAAAAAUCAAAUUUCAAACACAACUUGACUGUUCAUUUCUCCAAAAGACAACCAUGAAGCUCCAUUUCAAACCUGAAGCAGAUAGUUGGUGCAUGUGUACAGUAACCUGAGGGGAGUGAGGUGACUAUUUCUGAGGAGAACAUGAGCAGUGAAGAUUCACCUUGGAGCUAGAACAGGGACGUGCACAUGAUUAUACAGGGGCAGGGGCUCAAGUU